GGGCAUUCUCCAAUCCUUUGAGGCCCUGAAUACAGCAAAAAGCAGAGAAAGGAGGAAUUCACUCCUUUUGCUCCUGUCUCACUGCUUAAGCAGGGACAUCUCUUCUGAACUAUGCCAUCAGCUUUCCUGAGUCUCCAGUUUAUAGGCAGCACAUCAUGGGACUUCUCAGCCUCCAUAAUCCCGAAUACAAAAUACAUCCACCAAAUGGAUACCAUGUACCUGAGGAUUCAUGAAUCUGCCCUAGCAACAGUCCUGCAUCUGGUUUUGAGCACACUUUUUGCAAAUGGAGCUACUACUUGACUGAGCUCGGGUAGUCCACCUUGAUACAGAACAGAGAGGGAGCUUGUGCAAAUUCACAGAGAAAACUGUGGAGCCAGAAAAGACAUACUGUUCUUUCCAAUAUGAUGUGGAAGUCUGAAAGAUUAGGAAUUGUUUGGUAAGAAAAAAAUAUACAUAGCUAUUUGUGGAUGACAAUGCCCUGACACUGUUCCUCCUUUCUGUCCUUGGUUGGGGGCCUGCCUCAUUUCUCAUUGAGGGGAAUUCCUUCAUCAGGACCUGCUACGCUAAUGGUCACGGACCAAUGUUCUUUUUGCUGUUUGAACAGAAUGCUUGCCUUGUGUAUGUCCAGUCACAAAGUUCCCUUGAUAAAAACCAUAUGAAAAUACCACAAAG
rnacentral:lncRNA from 1 species